rnacentral:rRNA from 1 species
AUUGAACGCUGGCGGCAUGCCUUACACAUGCAAGUCGAACGGCAGCAUGAUCUAGCUUGCUAGAUUGAUGGCGAGUGGCGAACGGGUGAGUAAUACAUCGGAACGUGCCCUGUAGUGGGGGAUAACUAGUCGAAAGAUUAGUUAAUACCGCAUACGACCUGAGGGUGAAAGUGGGGGACCGCAAGGCCUCAUGCUAUAGGAGCGGCCGAUGUCUGGUUAGCUAGUUGGGGAGGUAAAGGCUCACCAAGGCGACGAUCAGUAGCUGGUCUGAGGGGACGAUCAGCCACACUGGGACUGAGACACGGCCCAGACUCCUACGGGAGGCAGCAGUGGGGAAUUUUGGACAAUGGGGGCAACCCUGCUCCAGCAAUGCCGCGUGUGUGAAGAAGGCCUUCGGGUUGUAAAGCACUUUUGUCCGGAAAGAAAUCGCACUUACUAAUAUUAGGUGUGGAUGACGGUACCGGAAGAAUAAGGACCGGCUAACUACGUGCCAGCCGCCGCCGUAACAC